rnacentral:misc_RNA from 1 species
UAGGGUGAGAAUUUAAGG